GGACGGGUGAGUAAUGUAUAGGAAUCUACCUUAUGGUAAGGGAUAACGCAGGGAAACUUGCGCUAAUACCGGAUGUGACCUACGGGUGAAAGGGGGCGCAAGCUCUUGCUAUUAGAUGAGCCUAAAUCAGAUUAGCUAGUUGGUGGGGUAAAGGCCCACCAAGGCGACGAUCUGUAACUGGUCUGAGAGGAUGAUCAGUCACACCGGAACUGAGACACGGUCCGGACUCCUACGGGAGGCAGCA
rnacentral:rRNA from 1 species